AUUGAACGCUGGCGGCAGGCCUAACACAUGCAAGUCGAGCGAGCGGCGGACGGGUGAGUAAUGUAUGGGGACUGCCCGAUAGAGGGGGAUAACUACUGGAAACGGUAGCUAAUACCGCAUACUAUCGGAUAACCCAUAUGGGAUUAGCUAGUAGGUGAGGUAAUGGCUCACCUAGGCGACGAUCCCUAGCUGGUCUGAGAGGAUGAGCAGCCCCAUGGGGUAUUAGACACGGCCCAGACUCCUCCGGGGGCAGCAGUGGGGAAUAUUGCACAAUGGGCGUAAGCCUGAUGCAGCCAUGGCGCGUGUAUGAAGAAGGCCCUAGGGUGGGAAAGUACUUUCAGUCGGGCGGCGUUACCGUCCGAAGAAGCACCGGCUAACUCCGUGCCAGCAGCCGCGGUAAUUC
rnacentral:rRNA from 1 species